GACGAACGCUGGCGGCAUGCCUAAUACAUGCAAGUCGAGCGGAGUUGACGAGAAGCUUGCUUCUCUGAUACUUAGUGGCGGACGGGUGAGUAACACGUAGGCAACCUGCCUUUCAGUUUGGGAUAACUUCCGGAAACGGAUGCUAAUACCGAAUACAUCAUCUUCUGGCAUCAGAGAAUGAGGAAGGACGGCGCAAGCUGUCACUGAGAGAUGGGCCUGCGGCGCAUUAGCUAGUUGGUGGGGUAAUGGCUCACCAAGGCGACGAUGCGUAGCCGACCUGAGAGGGUGAACGGCCACACUGGGACUGAGACACGGCCCAGACUCCUACGGGAGGCAGCAGUAGGGAAUCUUCCACAAUGGGCGAAAGCCUGAUGGAGCAAUGCCGCGUGAGUGAUGAAGGUUUUCGGAUCGUAAAGCUCUGUUGCCAGGGAAGAACGUCCGGGUGAGUAACUGCACCCGGAGUGACGGUACCUGAGAAGAAAGCCCCGGCUAACUACGUGCCAGCAGCCGCCGUAA
rnacentral:rRNA from 1 species